rnacentral:rRNA from 1 species
GACGAACGCUGGCGGCGUGCCUAAUACAUGCAAGUUGAGCGAUGAAGAUUGGUGCUUGCACCAAUUUGAAGAGCAGCGAACGGGUGAGUAACGCGUGGGGAAUCUGCCUUUGAGCGGGGGACAACAUUUGGAAACGAAUGCUAAUACCGCAUAACAACUUUAAACAUAAGUUUUAAGUUUGAAAGAUGCAAUUGCAUCACUCAAAGAUGAUCCCGCGUUGUAUUAGCUAGUUGGUGAGGUAAAGGCUCACCAAGGCGAUGAUACAUAGCCGACCUGAGAGGGUGAUCGGCCACAUUGGGACUGAGACACGGCCCAAACUCCUACGGGAGGCAGCAGUAGGGAAUCUUCGGCAAUGGACGAAAGUCUGACCGAGCAACGCCGCGUGAGUGAAGAAGGUCUUCGGAUCGUAAAACUCUGUUGGUAGAGAAGAACGUUGGUGAGAGUGGAAAGCUCAUCAAGUGACGGUAACUACCCAGAAAGGGACGGCUAACUACGUG